AUGCAUUUGCAUCUAGUGCAGGAAGUGCACAAAGUUACGCCUUUAUAAGAUAUGAUGUGUGAGACCUGUAGGGAAUGCGUUGGAGAUCAAACUCUGUAAAAUCCC
rnacentral:sRNA from 1 species